AUAUUGGACAAUGGGCGAAAGCCUGAUCCAGCCAUGCCGCGUGUGUAAAGAAGGUCUUCGGAUUGUAAAGCACCUUAAGGUGUGAGGAAGGGCAGUAAGUUAAUACCUUGCUGUUUUGACGUUACCGACAGAAUAAGCACCUGCUAAAUUCUUGCCAGCAGCCGCGGGAAGACGAAGGGUGCAAGCGUUAAUCGGAAUUACUGGGCGUAAAGCGCGCGUAGGUGGUUUGUUAAGUUGGAAGUGAAAGCCCCGGGCUCAACCUGGGAACUGCUUUCAUAACUGCUGAGCUAGAGUACGGUAGAGGGUAGUGGAAUUUCCUGUGUAGCGGUGAAAUGCGUAGAUAUAGGAAGGAACACCAGUGGCGAAGGCGACUACCUGGACUGAUACUGACACUGAGGUGCGAAAGCGUGGGGAGCAAACA
rnacentral:rRNA from 1 species